AUUGAGAGGAAUUAUUUUGGUACCAAGAACACAUUUCUCCAGUUCCUGUCCAUAUGUGGGGAGAAAUGGCAAAUGCCUCUCCGGGUGACAGCGUCCAGAAACAAGCAGCCUCUCACCCGGUGAGUGUGACAGAAACCUCACCCACAGCCAUGGCUGACAUCUGAGAGGUUUUCCGGGCAGCCUCCUUGAAGAGGUGAAGAUGGGCUCUGAAACAUUGGUAUGAAGGAGGUGAGAAGAGGGGAAAGACCAGUACUGGGGAAAGAGCUUUGAGAACUGAAGGCAGAAGCAGCUUGAAAACUGGAUGUAGCAAAGGUCCAACUAGGAAAGAAGAAACUAUCUUAUAUUUUUCCAAUGGAGUAAUACAGAGAACUGACUACAGAGGUGAUGGAAGAGCUGAGAAGGCAAACGGAGGACAGUGAGGCAACCUAGAUAUUAGCAACAGCAGGAAGUCACUGCCACCCUGGGCUGGAGGAACAAAAGGGAAGAGGUGCUAUUUAUUAUUGGAGCCCAGAGGCUGUGGUCACCUGAUGGAACCUGGAACCACAGUGGAUCCAUCUGGUGGCAGCUGGAGCCAUGGAGGAGAGGCAGCCACUGUCAGAGGUGCCGAGAUCUGAGGGAGGGAGGAUGGGAGAGAAUAUCCCAGCUAUUCCUUCCCUUGCUCUCCAGUCUUCUGCCAGUGCCUCGCACUGGCUGGGUCCAGCUAGAAACCAACUGGCACAGGAGCUGGCAAAUGCAGCCUGCAGGUGUCAGCCCAUCUUCCAUACAGAGCAGGGAAAGGGCAAGGAAUGGAUCUGAGGACAGGCAGGCCAGGACUGGCACAAGAUCCG
rnacentral:lncRNA from 1 species